rnacentral:tRNA from 1 species
GGAGAGAUGCCCGAGCUGGCCGAAGGGGUGCGACUGGAAAUCGCAUGUACCGGCUAAAACCGGUACCGUGGGUUCGAAUCCCACUCUCUCCGCUA